rnacentral:rRNA from 1 species
CAUACCUCUGGUGGACCUGUUGUGGCGCCAGCCGCAGUGCAGGGUAGCUAUGUAUGGACGGGAUAACCGCUGAAUGCAUCUAAGCGGGAAACCCACCUCAAAACGAGUUCUCCCUUGAGAGCCGUGGAAGACGACCACGUUGAUAGGCCGGGUGUGGAAGUGCGGCAACGCAUGGAGCUUACCGGUACUAAUAGCUCGAUUGGCUUGAUCGCUCUCAUUU